GACUAUCGGAACUGAGGACUUUGGGUCACCUCCCACCCGUGUUUAUUUUACCUUGUUGCUUCGGCGGGCCCGCCUUUACUGGCCGCCGGGGGGCUCACGCCCCCGGGCCCGCGCCCGCCGAAGACACCCCCGAACUCUGUCUGAAGAUUGAAGUCUGAGUGAAAAUAUAAAUUAUUUAAAACUUUCAACAACGGAUCUCUUGGUUCCGGCAUCGAUGAAGAACGCAGCGAAAUGCGAUACGUAAUGUGAAUUGCAAAUUCAGUGAAUCAUCGAGUCUUUGAACGCACAUUGCGCCCCCUGGUAUUCCGGGGGGCAUGCCUGUCCGAGCGUCAUUGCUGCCCUCAAGCCCGGCUUGUGUGUUGGGCCCCGUCCUCCGAUUCCGGGGGACGGGCCCGAAAGGCAGCGGCGGCACCGCGUCCGGUCCUCGAGCGUAUGGGGCUUUGUCACCCGCUCUGUAGGCCCGGCCGGCGCUUGCCGAUCAACCCAAAUUUUUAUCCAGGUUGACCUCGGAUCAGGUAGGGAUACCCGCUGAACUUAAGCAUAUCAAUAAGCGGAGGAA
rnacentral:rRNA from 1 species